rnacentral:sRNA from 2 species
CCGGGUCGACCACCACAACCCUUGGGCAGGGGCGGGGGAACCACGUUUGUUGCCGUCCCCCACGGCUAGGGGUGAAGCCGUCAGCGCCGGGCGACCGGAGUGCGGCGGCCGGGCCUCCCUCCCGGUCCGAACCCGACAGCUCACCUCGCAGGCGUGCGGAGAGGAUCU